UACGUAGGUGGCGAGCGUUGUCCGGAUUUACUGGGCGUAAAGGGCGUGCAGGCGGUUUGUUAAGUGCAGAGUGAAAGCUCCCGGCUCAACUGGGGAGGGUCACGCGAUACUGCUCGACUCGAAGGCAGGAGAGGGAAGUGGAAUUCCCGGUGUAGUGGUGAAAUGCGUAGAUAUCGGGAGGAACACCAGUGGCGAAGGCGACUUCCUGGCCUGUUCUUGACGCUGAGGCGCGAAAGCUAGGGUAGCAAACGGG
rnacentral:rRNA from 1 species